ACGCUAGCUACAGGCUUAACACAUGCAAGUCGAGGGGCAGCAUGGUCUUAGCUUGCUAAGGCCGAUGGCGACCGGCGCACGGGUGAGUAACACGUAUCCAACCUGCCGUCUACUCUUGGACAGCCUUCUGAAAGGAAGAUUAAUACAAGAUGGCAUCAUGAGUCCGCAUGUUCACAUGAUUAAAGGUAUUCCGGUAGACGAUGGGGAUGCGUUCCAUUAGAUAGUAGGCGGGGUAACGGCCCACCUAGUCUUCGAUGGAUAGGGGUUCUGAGAGGAAGGUCCCCCACAUUGGAACUGAGACACGGUCCAAACUCCUACGGGAGGCAGCAGUGAGGAAUAUUGGUCAAUGGGCGCAGGCCUGAACCAGCCAAGUAGCGUGAAGGAUGACUGCCCUAUGGGUUGUAAACUUCUUUUAUAAAGGAAUAAAGUCGGGUAUGGAUACCCGUUUGCAUGUACUUUAUGAAUAAGGAUCGGCUAACUCCGUGCCAGCAACCGCGGUAAUACGGAGGAUCCGAGCGUUAUCCGGAUUUAUUGGGUUUAAAGGGAGCGUAGAUGGAUGUUUAAGUCAGUUGUGAAAGUUUGCAGCUCAACCGUAAAAUUGCAGUUGAUACUGGAUAUCUUGAGUGCAGUUGAGGCAGGCGGAAUUCGUGGUGUAGCGGUGAAAUGCUUAGAUAUCACGAAGAACUCCGAUUGCGAAGGCAGCCUGCUAAGCUGCAACUGACAUUGAGGCUCGAAAGUGUGGGUAUCAAACAGGAUUAGAUACCCUGGUAGUCCACACGGUAAACGAUGAAUACUCGCUGUUUGCGAUAUACAGCAAGCGGCCAAGCGAAAGCGUUAAGUAUUCCACCUGGGGAGUACGCCGGCAACGGUGAAACUCAAAGGAAUUGACGGGGGCCCGCACAAGCGGAGGAACAUGUGGUUUAAUUCGAUGAUACGCGAGGAACCUUACCCGGGCUUAAAUUGCAGAUGAAUUACGGUGAAAGCCGUAAGCCGCAAGGCAUCUGUGAAGGUGCUGCAUGGUUGUCGUCAGCUCGUGCCGUGAGGUGUCGGCUUAAGUGCCAUAACGAGCGCAACCCUUGUUGUCAGUUACUAACAGGUUCCGCUGAGGACUCUGACAAGACUGCCAUCGUAAGAUGUGAGGAAGGUGGGGAUGACGUCAAAUCAGCACGGCCCUUACGUCCGGGGCUACACACGUGUUACAAUGGGGGGUACAGAGGGCCGCUACCACGCGAGUGGAUGCCAGUCCCCAAAACCUCUCUCAGUUCGGACUGGAGUCUGCAACCCGACUCCACGAAGCUGGAUUCGCUAGUAAUCGCGCAUCAGCCACGGCGCGGUGAAUACGUUCCCGGGCCUUGUACACACCGCCCGUCAAGCCAUGGGAGCCGGGGGUACCUGAAGUGCGUAACCGCGAGGAGCGCCCUAGGGUAAAACUGGUGACUGGGGC
rnacentral:rRNA from 1 species